AGCGAACGCUGGCGGCAUGCCUUACACAUGCAAGUCGAACGGUAACAGGUCUUCGGAUGCUGACGAGUGGCGAACGGGUGAGUAAUACAUCGGAACGUGCCUAGUAGUGGGGGAUAACUACUCGAAAGAGUGGCUAAUACCGCCUGAGAUCUACGGAUGAAAGCAGGGGAUCGCAAGACCUUGUGCUACUAGAGCGGCCGAUGGCAGAUUAGGUAGUUGGUGGGAUAAAAGCUUACCAAGCCGACGAUCUGGAGCUGGUUUGAGAGGACGAUCAGCCACACUGGGACUGAGACACGGCCCAGACUCCUACGGGAGGCAGCAGUGGGGAAUUUUGGACAAUGGGCGAAAGCCUGAUCCAGCAAUGCCGCGUGCAGGAUGAAGGCCUUCGGGUUGUAAACUGCUUUUGUACGGAACGAAAAGCCCCGGGUUAAUACCCUGGGGUCAUGACGGUACCGUAAGAAUAAGCACCGGCUAACUACGUGCCAGCCGCCGCCGUAA
rnacentral:rRNA from 1 species